rnacentral:rRNA from 1 species
GGCUCAGAACGAACGCGGGCGGCGUGCCUAACACAUGCAAGUCGAACGUGAUUAGAGAGCUUGCUCUCUAUGAAAGUGGCGCACGGGUGAGUAACGCGUAGAUAAUCUGCCUGGUGAUCCGGGAUAACACUUCGAAAGGGGUGCUAAUACCUGAUAAGCCCACGGGGUCUUUGGACUCUGCGGGAAAAGGGGGGGACCUUCGGGCCUUCUGUCACCAGAUGAGUCUGCGUACCAUUAGCUAGUUGGUAGGGUAAAGGCCUACCAAGGCGACGAUGGUUAGCUGGUCUGAGAGGAUGAUCAGCCACACUGGAACUGAGACACGGUCCAGACUCCUACGGGAGGCAGCAGUGGGGAAUUUUGCGCAAUGGGGGAAACCCUGACGCAGCAACGCCGCGUGAGUGAUGAAGGCCCUUGGGUCGUAAAGCUCUGACAGAGGGAAAGAAAUGUGGGUGGCUAAUAUCCAUACCACUUGACGGUACCCUCAAAGGAAGCACCGGCUAACUCCGUGCCAGCAGCCGCGGUAAUACGGGGGGUGCAAGCGUUGUUCGGAUUUAUUGGGCGUAAAGCGCGUGUAGGCGGUUUUGUAAGUCUGAUGUGAAAGCCCCGGGCUCAACCUGGGAAGUGCAUUGGAUACUGUAAGACUUGAAUACGGGAGAGGGCAGUGGAAUUCCUGGUGUAGGAGUGAAAUCCGUAGAUAUCAGGAGGAACACCGGUGGCGAAGGCGGCUGCCUGGACCGAUAUUGACGCUGAGACGCGAAAGCGUGGGUAGCAAACAGGAUUAGAUACCCUGGUAGUCCACGCCGUAAACGAUGAGAACUAGGUGUUGCGGGUAUUGACCCCUGCAGUGCCGCAGCUAACGCAUUAAGUUCUCCGCCUGGGAAGUACGGUCGCAAGACUAAAACU